AGAAAAGGCUGCAGCCGUUUACGAGAGAAAAAAAAAAAGAGAGUGCAUGUCGUUGGGGUUAAAGAGAAAGAGGGAGUUGAUCCCCACUGAUACAUCACCUGCUACGUUGUGGUGGUGUGUUUUCCUCGCAGACGGGACCUAAGGAGAAAAACGGAGAAUCUUUGUCGAAGGAGAGAAAAGAUAAAAUUUUGACUUGAGCAAUAAGAUGAAGGUUAAUUAACAAAGAGCACGACCGACCUGGUGAUGAAGGAAAAAAGAAGACACUUUGAAUAUAAGUUUGUUUUAAGAGAUUCUGGUCAGAUCUGAGAAAUUUUUUACCAUAUUUUUGCGCAAUAAUUAUCAGAAGAUCAUCAGAAGCUGGAAGCUGAAUGCACUUUUGAUAUACCCCACGGCAUCAACAAUGUUUAUUUUUACCUUAAUUUAUUUUUAUUUCUUCAUUUUUUUGUAUAUUUUAGUUACACCCAAAAAUAAUAAUUAAUGAAUAGCUAGAUGAGUGGUUGUAAAAACAUAUAUGUUUGUAACGA
rnacentral:lncRNA from 1 species